rnacentral:rRNA from 1 species
CGUCUAUAUACGUAUAGCAUAUCAAUAAGCGGAGGAAAAGAAACUAACUAGGAUUCCCUUAGUAACGGCGAGUGAAGCGGGAAGAGCUCAAAUUUGAAAUCUUCAAGGUUUUACCUUGACGAAUUGUAGUUUAAAGAAGUGUUUUCUGUUGGAAUUUUGGUAAAAGUUCUUUGGAAAAGGACAUCAUAGAGGGUGAGAAUCCCGUAUUUGACCAUUAUUUCCAGCUUUGUGAUACACUUUCAAAGAGUCGGAUUGUUUGGGAAUGCAGUCCAAAAUGGGUGGUAAAUUUCAUCUAAAGCUAAAUAUUGGCGAGAGACCGAUAGCGAACAAGUACCGUGAGGGAAAGAUGAAAAGAACUUUGAAAAGAGAGUUAAACAGUACGUGAAAUUGUCAAAAGGGAAGCGUUUGACACCAGUGUUGUUUUCUCGAAAAUCAAUUAAAAAGGCCGGAUUUUGUGUUGUAUUGACUUUAUCAGCUUUCUGCACUUUUUUCUUGUCUUUUUUAAUGCACUUUUCGGUUAACAAGUCAACAUCAAUUUCUUUUGUUGUAAAAGGGUCAUUGAGGAAGGUGGCUUUCUUUUCGGAGAGAGUGUUCAUAGCCUUGUGCCUCUGCAAUCGGAGAGAUUGAGGUCUGCAGCGUAGAUCCUUCGGGGUUAGAUACAUUUGUGCUAAGUUAUAGCCUUUCAUAGGACAACUUGUUGACUAUGAUCAGUCAUGUAGCUUACUCGCUUAUGCUAUUUUACCUACGCUUAGGAUGUUGACUGAUAUGUAGUCGU